rnacentral:lncRNA from 1 species
UGUGUGCAGUGCAGUCCAGCGGCAGGGGUUGCCAUCUCCUCUCACACUUCUAGCAGCAUCAGGGGGAGGAUGGUGGAGAAAUAUUCUCCCAGGUACAAUUUGUGUGAUGUUCGUGCGUCUGUGUGCAAUUUCGGUGAUGGCCUUCAUGCCGAGGUCCAAUUUUUCAUUGUUGUUAUCCAUUGACGGCGAGCAGUGCAGCUUCUAUCAUUGCAGGUCAGUUGGGCGUCGGUGCAGUAAGCAAGCACUUGAGAGGACGAUUGGCAUGCACUUCGGUUUCAGCCAUGCGACAUUGCAGUACGGAUGCGCACGGCAGAAGGUUCGUUGCUGUAGUUUACUUGGUG